UACGUAGGGUGCAAGCGUUAAUCGGAAUUACUGGGCGUAAAGCGUGCGCAGGCGGUGAUGUAAGGCAGAUGUGAAAUCCCCGGGCUCAACCUGGGACCUGCAUUUGUGACUGCAUCGCUAGAGUACGGUAGAGGGGGAUGGAAUUCCGCGUGUAGCAGUGAAAUGCGUAGAUAUGCGGAGGAACACCGAUGGCGAAGGCAAUCCCCUGGACCUGUACUGACGCUCAUGCACGAAAGCGUGGGGAGCAAACAGG
rnacentral:rRNA from 1 species